rnacentral:rRNA from 1 species
GAUCCUGGCUCAGGAUGAACGCUAGCUACAGGCUUAACACAUGCAAGUCGAGGGGAAACGAUAUUGGAAGCUUGCUUCCGAUAGGCGUCGACCGGCGCACGGGUGAGUAACGCAUAUCCAACCUGCCCAUCACUUGGGAAUAACCUUGCGAAAGUAAGACUAAUGCCCAAUGACAUUUAUAGAAGGCAUCUGAAAUGAAUUAAAGAUUUAUCGGUGAUGGAUGGGGAUGCGUCUGAUUAGCUUGUUGGCGGGUAACGGCCCACCAAGGCGACGAUCAGUAGGGGUUCUGAGAGGAAGGUCCCCCACAUUGGAACUGAGACACGGUCCAAACUCCUACGGGAGGCAGCAGUGAGGAAUAUUGGUCAAUGGGCGAGAGCCUGAACCAGCCAAGUAGCGUGCAGGAAGACGGCCCUAUGGGUUGUAAACUGCUUUUAUAGGGGAAUAAAGUGAGCCACGUGUGGUUUUUGCAUGUACCCUAUGAAUAAGGACCGGCUAAUUCCGUG